UCAUCAGUUGGGGUAAUCCUGAUCUGUUGCUUCUUUUUGAAGCUAACAGUUAUGGAUUAUGACAAAGUGAUGAAAGUGGGCUUGAUGAUUCAGGUGAAUUAUGUCAUCCUGGGUCUGGAGGUUCUCGACCUUCCUCCAAAUCCACUUCUGAU